rnacentral:lncRNA from 1 species
AUAGUCGCUUGUUCUCCGCCCGCGGUGGACCAGCUGCGUAACGGUUCACACACUGAUGGCGCCUGGAGGUUUGGCGAAAUACUGACAGGAUGCGACGUCAACGGGAGCGCAGGGCCAAGAUACCCUUUAUAUCAAACCGUCUAUCCUGGAGCAGAAAAAUCCUGUCUUCAUUGCUAUAGCUACAGAUUCAGAAAUGAGCAUGUAACAAAUUCAGGCCAAAGAGAGGCAAUGGAAAUCAGAGAAACACUGUUCCUGAAAGCUUCUGUCACUCAAGAAUCCAUGAAACAUUCAUGAACUUCACAUCAGAAGCCAAGCCCAGAAAAUAUGGGUUUAAGGUUUGCCUAUAUGUCCAAUACAAGAGAAAAAAGAACAUUCCACUUCUUUAGAAGGUUCUACUUUGAUCUCCUGAUUCCAGUUGUGAAAAAAAAUUGUGCCUAAAGAAUAUAGUCCCUUUAUAGAAUUGUUUUGAAACCUACCACAGGUAUUUCUACACAGGUGCUAUUGUGGAGGUGCAUACCCAACAGUUUGAUAAUGUAGAGGAAGUGAUAGCUUUGUCUCGUGGAAUCUGGGUCGACCUCACAGAGGAGCUGUUAUUUGUUCUGGAUAUUGAACAGUGACAAGGAUUCAGUGGGAGAGAAAGAGGCGAGGAUUUUAAUGCAACUUGUUACACAAGAUGAACCCAAACAUAUUUGACUUUUUAUUUUCAGAAAAGCUUAAUACAUAGUUUUGAAUAUGGAUUGUCCCACAGGAUAAAUGCAUGAAAAAAGUUGGAAAAGAGAAAUUGAAUUACAUCCUAAUUGUAGUGUUUUCUCAGGCAGAUCAAUUUUAGAAAGAGAACAUUGACUUGGAAAACUGAAGAGUAAUUAUUCUAAAACGGUUGUAACAGUUUACUCCUUUUAUGUUUGCAAACUUCCAGGAUUAGUGAGUUGCAUAAAGUCACAUAAUUUAUUGCGUUGGUGCAAAAGUAAUUGUGGUUUUUGCCAUUAACAAAACCGCAAUUACUUUUGCAUCAGCCUAAUAUAAGUGAAUAAAUUAAUAUUAGAACACAGGUCUAAUUAAAAGGUUCUGCUGUGUUGUGUCCUGUGAUAACACAGAAAACAAACAAAUGGAUAAUUACAGAAAAAUUUUGGAUAUAAAAUUAGCAGGUAAUUUUCUCCCUCCUUUCCUUCCAUCUUUCCAUCCUUCUUUGCUUCCUUUGCUUUCUUCUUUUCCUUUGUUUUUUGUUUCUCUCUCUCUCUUUUUUUUUUUUUUUUUUUUUUUUUGCAAUUUGGAGAAGGAAGUACUUUAAAAGAAAAGUUAAAAGGCAGACAUAGAUAGCAUGAAGCCUAAUUGCAAGAUCUUUUUCAAACAUAUUAGUUUUAGGAAAUAGCACCUGAAUUUAAGUCCCUUAAAAUUGUCUAUGUCUUCACGUCCAAGUCUCUAUAUUUGCAGGGCUGUGUACAAUCUAGACUGAACAUGCUUGACCUAAAAACAGAAGUAAUACCUGGGGCAAAGCACGAUGUGCACCACAGUCUUCUCUCUUUAGUGUGUUAAGAUAAAGUUGAUUCCCAGAGUAGCCUGCCAUCACUAACUCUGAGGGAUGGUGGGCUAAUUUUGAUAGAAGGAGCAGAGGUGGUAGUUAGGAGGAAGGUGACUCAUCAUCAUUGUAUCAGCAGGCAUUGAUGACUGGAAAUAUCAGGGGGCACAGCCUGAAAGAGAAUGGCUUAAUUGGAAUUGAUAGUGGGAACUUGGAAAUCAAUACAUAUGCACUGAACAGAAAAUGGUAUGCUAUAAUCUACUAUACACUGUAUGUGAAACCCAAGCUCCAAAUUUUUCGGCCCAUGCAAUGUCCAGUAAAAUUUCUCUUAGUUACAUUAUAAUUGCAAUGUACAUGUAUUUGAGGAAAAAAAAAGUGAAAGAAAAAGUAACUAAAGAAAAGUGGAAAUGCAAAACUUUGUUUUUAUUAAUGUUAAAAUUUAUUUUGAUCAACUUGCUAUUCUUAAAAUUGACCAAUCUUCUUCCCUUCCUUGCCUCUUCCAUGGUUUAUAGGAUUAUUUUUCAGGGCUGAUCAGUUGGUGUUACAUGUGACUACUAUGCUUAAUGCUAUCUGGCUUCUAACUUUAAGCACUGAAAAAAAGUCCUUCGUAUUUCUCAGUGUGUGAUUGAACUGAGAUGACCAUCCUAAGCCUCCUCAUUACAUAAAUCCUUACCUUCUCCAGAAGCAACGAAUGGUGUUGAGAAUAGCAUAUGUUACUACUCAGCCAUAUUCCAUAGCCUUUUCUCCAAGAUAUUUUUCCAAAGUUGCCCCUUUUCUGAAUCCCUUGCAAGCAAACAAACAACAAAACAAUGGGUAAUAAAAUAAUUGUUUAACUUUCAUUUAUAUGCUCUGAGAUUGAUGUGAUUUUGAUAAAUAACUAUAUUAAAAGACAAAUGGGAGUGGUGAUUUUGUGAAAAGCCCAUGCCUCUGCCCAUGGAAUAUGUGGCUUGGCCUGGAGCUCUUAUUUUACUUAUAUAUUUCUAAGCAGAAUUAUUCAAGAAUGUCUCUUAUUACAGGUCUUGAAACUUGGACAGCCAACAGAAAGGAAGCUAAUAAAUAAAUUUGUCAGAACACGAUUCUCAGUUUCACUUAUUUUGAAUUAAAGGUAACCUGGAAAAUGGAUUAGGAAAACAGCCUAUAAUCAGAGGAGUGACCCCAGUGAGACCCUGUCAUUAAAACUUUAGUGUUGAGCCUGCAAACCUCUGUUCCUCUGAUUAGGCAAUUUACUCCAUUUCCACCUUUCUGUCUGCCAAAACAUUUAGUGGCAAAACAUUUUCUAAUUCUCUAGACUCAUAAAAUGUUGUUUUGAAAAAAAGUAAAACAGAAUGGAUUACCUUUUUAAGCUGUCUAUCAUAAUGUAAUCAGAAAACAUGAGGGAUUAAUAGAUAAUAUUGUAAAGAGGCAAAGGCAGCAGAUGUUAUUUAGAUGAGCAGAAGGUCACAGACCUCUGUUGAGGAUUGAAAGCUUGAGGUACGUGCCUUUGUUCCUCAGUGUGUGUGGAUCAGAGUGAUUACUGAUAUCAGUUAGCAACAUGGUGGAGGGGACAAACUGGGGCUGCAUUUUCACUAUGUUUAUUAUUGCUCAAGGUCAAAAAGUGACUGUGUAGUGCCUCAGUUUUUACAUCUUUGUGUUAUCAAUAUUUUUUUCUAUUACCUUACAAGUUUAUUUUGAUGCUGUAAUGAUGAGACAGUGUUUUGAAAAGUUCUAAAUAAAUAAAAGGGUAUUCUCUAACUUUUAAA